rnacentral:rRNA from 1 species
CCUGGUGGCUCUCAGCAAGGUGACAAGACGCGAUCCCAUCCCGAACUCGAAUGUCAAACGCCUUCGCGCUGAUGGUACUAUGUCUCAAGACAUGGGAGAGUAGGUCGCUGCCAGGC